UAGAACUGCUACUUCGAGAAAUCAAAUGACAGGGUAACGCCUUGAAAGGUUUCCUCUAAUACUCCGACAUGCGAGAUGCAAAAGGUAAGUGUUGUAAUCGUGUGAAGCUCGGUGAAGUCGGCUGAGAGCUAUCGUAAGGUACUCUCGUACCUCGAAACUCAUUCAGAGAUGAAUGACAUAGCCUAUAGGUCGGGAGUCUACAAA
rnacentral:ncRNA from 1 species